rnacentral:rRNA from 1 species
UACGUAGGUGACCAGCGUUGUCCGGAUUUACUGGGCGUAAAGAGCUCGUAGGCGGUCUGUCGCGUCGGGUGUGAAAAUCCAGGGCUUAACCCUGGACCUGCAUUCGAUACGGGCAGACUAGAGUUCGGUAGGGGAGACUGGAAUUCCUGGUGUAGCGGUGAAAUGCGCAGAUAUCAGGAGGAACACCGGUGGCGAAGGCGGGUCUCUGGGCCGAUACUGACGCUGAGGAGCGAAAGCGUGGGGAGCGAACAGG